GGGAGUGUGGGUCAGUGGUUAAGGCUUUGGGUUAUUGAUCAGAAGGUUAUGAGUUCAAACCCCAGCACCCGCA